UUAAUGCUGCAACCCGGAAUAAGCAAAAUGCCAGGUAAGGCAAUGGCAGAAACUGGGGAAGCUGAAAUAGAUCUGCUGCAGUUUUACAGUUUCCAGUCAUUUGCCUGA
rnacentral:lncRNA from 13 species